GACGAACGCUGGCGGCGUGCUUAACACAUGCAAGUCGAACGAAGUGGCGAACGGGUUAGUAACGCGUAAUCAACCUGCCCUUCAGCGGGGUACAACAGUUGGAAACGACUGCUAAUACCGCAUACUGAAGGUGGUGAUUGCGUCUGAUUCGCUAGUUGGAGGGGUAACGGCCCACCAAGGCGAGGAUCAGUAGACGGGGUGAGAGGGGGAAAGGACACAUUGGGACUGAGACACGGCCCAGAGUCCUACGGGAGGCAGAAGUGGGGAAACUUCCGGAAUGGACGAAAGUCUGACGGAGAAACGCCGCGUGAGUGAUGAGGGCGUUCGGGUUGUAAAGCGCUGUUAAUCGGGACGCGGUACCGGAAUAGAAAGCCACGGCUAACUACGUGCCAGCAGCCGCGGUAAUUC
rnacentral:rRNA from 1 species